CGGGCAGUAGCUCAGUGGUAGGGCUCUCGCUCCAUAUGCGGGAAGGCCUCGGUUCGAUUCCCAGCUGCUUAC
rnacentral:tRNA from 1 species